CUUUCCAGCUGCUCUACACCAGACGGGGUUAUCCUGGUCGAGAUGUCUGCGGACAUCAACCUGCCUAUAUUCUAUAAAAUUUAAAUUGUUUUCAAAUGGGCAUAUUUUCAAAAGAAUACCUUUUCUUUAAUUAGCUUUCAUAAAUGUAUUCACUUUAAUGUCAGGUUUUCAUGAUAGCAUGUUGGUUAUGAUAGUCCUGUAUUUUCAAGUUGUUCACAAUAACAGCAUGUUUGAGUUAUUCAUGGUAGCUCAGUAGGUUUCGAGCAUUAGUGGUAUAAUCAGUAUUUCUGAUUGAUGCAUGACACCAUGAUAUUUUUGAGGACGUUGUGCAUCCUGUGCUGAGAUUUGCAGAUUGCAGCCUAUUUUCAGUCAAUUGCACGUUCAUCGCUGUUUUCUCAUUGCAUCAUUUGAAACACUUUGUUUUUGUUUUUCUAUUUUUUGGUCAGGUUUUCUAAGAGGAACACACACACACACACACACACACACACACACACACACCAUACAUGCAAUUACUAAUUGCAAAAUUUUCAGGAAGUUAGUCCAAAUCAGUUGAUUGUCAUUAAACAAACUCAUUACAGAGAACUGAUGAUUUCAGAUGAUGCCAGGCCAUGAAUUUAAGUAACCAUUUUGUACCAGACUGUGACUGACCUCAAACUUUUUCCCAGGGAAAAUUAUGCCACACUCUGUUUGCAAGUGUCCAUCUGCAGUGUUUAGGCUGUUUGAUGGUGUGGGCCCUUGGUGCAGUACCAAGUUAAGGGUAGGUCCUCAGUGUGGCUCCUCAAUGUAGUACGAGGAUCUCUAUCUAAGUGUGUGGAUAAUCAGAACAGUACUAGAAUGUCUGUUUCAUGGUGUGGGUCUUCAGUGUAGUACCAGGCUGUCUGUUGGAGGGUGUGGGUACUCAUUGUAGUAUCAGGCUGUCCGUUGGAGGAUCUGGGUACUCAUUAUGGUACCAGGCUGUCCGGUGGAGGAUCUGGGUACUCAUUGUAGUACAAGGCUGUCCGUUGCAGGGUGUGGAUACUCAUUGUAGUACCAGGCUGUCCGUUGAAGGAUCUGGGUACUCAUUGUAGUACCAGGCUGUCCGUUGCAGGGUGUGGGUACUCAUUGUAGUACCAGGUUAUCUGUUGCAGGGUGUGCGUACUCAUUGUAAUACCAGGCUAUCUAUUGGAGGGUAUGGGUACGCAGUGUAGUACUAGGCUGUCCGUUGGAGGGUGUGGAUACUCAUUGUAGUACCAUGCUGUCCAUUAGUGGAUCUGGGUACCCACUGUAGUACCAGGCUGUCCGUUGGAGGGUGUGGGUACUCAUUGUAGUACCAGGCUGUCCGUUGGAGGGUGUGGGUACUCAUUGUAGUACCAGGCUAUCCGUUGGAGGGUGUGGGUACUCAUUGUAGUACCAGGCUGUCCGUUGGAGGAUGUGGGUACUCAUUGUAGUACCAGGCUGUCCGUUGGAG